rnacentral:tRNA from 1 species
UGUCGUUGUUGGCAUAGCGGUAGCGCUGCGCCUUGCAGAGGCGGAUGCCGUCGAUGAUGGAAGCGUGGUUCAGACUGUCGGAGACAA